rnacentral:rRNA from 1 species
GACGAACGCUGGCGGCGUGCUUAACACAUGCAAGUCGAACGGAAAGGCACAGAUACUCUGGCGUGCUCGAGUAGCUAACGUGUGAGUAACACGUGAGUAACCAGUCAUUGAUUUUGGAACAACUUCAGACAACUGGGGCUCAUACCGGAUAGGAGCUCCUGAUGCAUGGUGAGGGUUGUAAAGCAUCGGAGGAUGGGGAAGGAAUCGGGGCUUAUCAGCUUGUUGGUGGGGUAGUGGCUUACCAAGGCUUUGACGGGUAGCCUGCCUGAGAGGGGGACCGGCCACAUUGGGACGGAGAUACGGCACAGACUCCUACGGGACGGAGCAGAGGAGAAUAGUGCACUGUGGGCGGAAGGCAGAUGUAGCAACGCCGCGUGCGGGAUGACGGCAAUCGGGUUGUAAACCGAUGUUGCCUUUGAUGAAGAGAAAGGGACGGUAAUGGGUAAAGAAGCACCGGCUAAAUACGUG